UACGAAGGGGGGCUAGCGUUGUUCGGAAUUACUGGGCGUAAAGCGCACGUAGGCGGAUUUGUAAGUCAGGGGUGAAAUCCCGGGGCUCAACCUCGGAACUGCCUUUGAUACUGCAAGUCUUGAGUCCGGAAGAGGUGAGUGGAAUUCCUAGUGUAGAGGUGAAAUUCGUAGAUAUUAGGAAGAACACCAGUGGCGAAGGCGGACUCACUGGUCCGGUACUGACGCUGAGGUGCGAAAGCGUGGGGAGCAAACAGG
rnacentral:rRNA from 1 species